rnacentral:rRNA from 1 species
CCUACGGGUGGCAGCAGUGAGGAAUAUUGGUCAAUGGACGAGAGUCUGAACCAGCCAAGUAGCGUGAAGGAUGACUGCCCUAUGGGUUGUAAACUUCUUUUAUAAAGGAAUAAAACGAGGCACGUGUGCCUUUUUGUAUGUACCUUAUGAAUAAGGAUCGGCUAACUCCGUGCCAGCAGCCGCGGUAAUACGGAGGAUCCGAGCGUUAUCCGGAUUUAUUGGGUUUAAAGGGAGCGUAGAUGGGUUGUUAAGUCAGUUGUGAAAGUUUGCGGCUCAACCGUAAAAUUGCAAUUGAUACUGGCAGUCUUGAGUACAGUUGAGGUAGGCGGAAUUCGUGGUGUAGCGGUGAAAUGCUUAGAUAUCACGAAGAACCCCGAUUGCGAAGGCAGCUUACUAAACUGUGACUGACAUUGAUGCUCGAAAGUGUGGGUAUCAAACAGGAUUAGAUACCCCUGUAGUC